UACGUAGGGUGCGAGCGUUGUCCGGAAUUACUGGGCGUAAAGGGCGCGUAGGCGGCCUGCUAAGUCGAACGUGAAAUCCCCGGGCUCAACCCGGGAACUGCGUCCGAUACUGGCAGGCUUGAAUUCGGGAGAGGGAUGCGGAAUUCCAGGUGUAGCGGUGAAAUGCGUAGAUAUCUGGAGGAACACCGGUGGCGAAGGCGGCAUCCUGGACCGAAAUUGACGCUGAGGCGCGAAAGCCAGGGGAGCAAACGGG
rnacentral:rRNA from 1 species